GACGAACCGUGCGAACGUUAUUCGGAAUCACUGGGCUUAAAGGGCGCGUAGGCGGGCUCGCAAGUCAGGGGUGAAAGCCUCCAGCUCAACUGGAGAAGUGCCUUUGAUACUGCGAGUCUAGAGGGAGGUAGGGGCGUGCGGAACUUCCGGUGGAGCGGUGAAAUGCGUAGAUAUCGGAAGGAACACCGGUGGCGAAAGCGGCGCGCUGGACCUCUUCUGACGCUGAGGCGCGAAAGCCAGGGGAGCAAACGGG
rnacentral:rRNA from 1 species